rfam:Gamma proteobacterium HIMB55 ctg2504557020, whole genome shotgun sequence.
CAACCCCCCUGUAAACCUGCACGGGUGGGCGUCGAGUAACGCAGGUUGGAGAAAUAUCAUGGCACUAGAUGCAGCACGAAAGGCUCAAAUCGUAGAAGACUACAAGCAGUCAGAG